CAAAGGAAUAGACGGGGACCCGCACAAGUGGUGGAGCAUGUGGUUUAAUUCGAAGAUACGCGAAGAACCUUACCUGGCCUUGACAUUGAUAGAAUCUGCUAGAGAUAGCGGAGUGCCCUUCGGGGAGCUUGAAAACAGGUGCUGCACGGCUGUCGUCAGCUCGUGUCGUGAGAUGUUGGGUUAAGUCCCGCAACGAGCGCAACCCUCGUCACUAGUUACUAACGGUUCGGCCGAGGACUCUAGUGAGACUGCCUUCGUAAGGAGGAGGAAGGUGAGGACGACGUCAAGUCAUCAUGGCCCUUACGGCCAGGGCGACACACGUGCUACAAUGGGAUGUACAAUGAGACGCAAUACCGCGAGGUGGAGCAAAUCUAUAAAGCAUCUCUCAGUUCGGAUUGUAGUCUGCAACUCGACUACAUGAAGCUGGAAUCACUAGUAAUCGUAGAUCAGCCAUGCUACGGUGAAUACGUUCCCGGGUCUUGUACUCACCGCCCGUCACACCAUGGGAGUUGAUUUCACCCGAAGCGGGGAAGCUAAACUGGCUACCCUCCCACGGUGGAAUCAGCGA
rnacentral:rRNA from 1 species